CGCCAGCCCGCUCAGAAACUCAAAUGAAUUGACGGGGCCCGCACAAGCGGAGGAGCAUGUGGUUUAAUUCGAUGAUACGCGAGGAACCUUACCUGGGCUCGAACGUAAGAUGACUGUAGGUGAAAGCUUACAUCUCUUCGGAGCAUUUUACGAGGUGCUGCAUGGUUGUCGUCAGCUCGUGCCGUGAGGUGUCGGGUUAAGUCCCAUAACGAGCGCAACCCCUACCUUUAGUUGCCAUCAGGUAAUGCUGGGGACUCUAAAGGAACUGCCUACGCAAGUAGUGAGGAAGGCGGGGAUGACGUCAAAUCAGCACGGCCCUUACGUCCAGGGCUACACACGUGCUACAAUGGCCGAUACAGAGGGCAGCUACCUGGUGACAGGAUGCAAAUCUCCAAAGUCGGUCUCAGUUCGGAUCGGAGUCUGCAACCCGACUCCGUGAAGUUGGAUUCGCUAGUAAUCGCGCAUCAGCCAUGGCGCGGUGAAUACGUUCCCGGGCCUU
rnacentral:rRNA from 1 species